rnacentral:rRNA from 1 species
GACGAACGCUGGCGGCGUGCUUAACACAUGCAAGUCGAACGAUGAAGCCUAGCUUGCUAGGUGGAUUAGUGGCGAACGGGUGAGUAAUACGUGAGUAACCUACCUUUAACUCUGGGAUAAGCCUGGGAAACUGGGUCUAAUACCGGAUACGACCAAUCUCCGCAUGGGGUGUUGGUGGAAAGCGUUAUGUAGUGGUUAUAGAUGGGCUCACGGCCUAUCAGCUUGUUGGUGAGGUAACGGCUCACCAAGGCGACGACGGGUAGCCGGCCUGAGAGGGUGACCGGCCACACUGGGACUGAGACACGGCCCAGACUCCUACGGGAGGCAGCAGUGGGGAAUAUUGCACAAUGGGCGCAAGCCUGAUGCAGCGACGCCGCGUGAGGGAUGACGGCCUUCGGGUUGUAAACCUCUGUUAGCAGGGAAGAAGAGAGAUUGACGGUACCUGCAGAGAAAGCGCCGGCUAACUACGUGCCAGCAGCCGCGGUAAUACGUAGGGCGCGAGCGUUGUCCGGAAUUAUUGGGCGUAAAGAGCUUGUAGGCGGUUUGUCGCGUCUGCUGUGAAGGCCGGGGCUUAACUCCGUGUAUUGCAGUGGGUACGGGCAGACUAGAGUGCAGUAGGGGAGACUGGAAUUCCUGGUGUAGCGGUGGAAUGCGCAGAUAUCAGGAGGGACACCGAUGGCGAAGGCAGGUCUCUGGGCUGUAACUGACGCUGAGAAGCGAAAGCAUGGGGAGCGAACAGGAUUAGAUACCCUGGUAGUCCAUGCCGUAAACGUUGGGCACUAGGUGUGGGGGACAUUCCUCGUUUUCCGCGCCGUAGCUAACGCAUUAAGUGCCCCGCCUGGGGAGUACGGCCGCAAGGCUAAAACUCAAAGAAAUUGACGGGGGCCCGCACAAGCGGCGGAGCAUGCGGAUUAAUUCGAUGCAACGCGAAGAACCUUACCAAGGCUUGACAUAUACUGGACCGCAUCAGAGAUGGUGUUUCCCUUCGGGGCUGGUAUACAGGUGGUGCAUGGUUGUCGUCAGCUCGUGUCGUGAGAUGUUGGGUUAAGUCCCGCAACGAGCGCAACCCUCGUUCUAUGUUGCCAGCACGUUAUGGUGGGGACUCAUAGGAGACUGCCGGGGUCAACUCGGAGGAAGGUGGGGAUGACGUCAAAUCAUCAUGCCCCUUAUGUCUUGGGCUUCACGCAUGCUACAAUGGCCGGUACAGAGGGUUGCGAUACUGUGAGGUGGAGCUAAUCCCUAAAAGCCGGUCUCAGUUCGGAUUGGGGUCUGCAACUCGACCCCAUGAAGUCGGAGUCGCUAGUAAUCGCAGAUCAGCAACGCUGCGGUGAAUACGUUCCCGGGCCU